rnacentral:antisense_RNA from 1 species
GAGCUCUGUGGGCCCCAGGUGCCCCAGGAAAACUUGGGGGAGAAUGGGCAUCCCACCCCAGCACUUUCUAGGAAGGAGGGCAGCAUUUUGAAGGGCUGGAAGUAGAGGAAGGAGGUUGCGGGUAGAAGACUCCAUACUUUCUGUGAUGCCUAUUCCUUAGUCAGAGGCGUGGCUUGCCUGGGCCCCUGGGUGCAGCUGCACAGAUUCAAGCAGCCUGAAGGAAAGGUGACUGACAGCUAAUGAUCUGAAAAGAACUUGUCUCAACUCAACGUCAUUCCUGGCAUUAUCGAACAAAGCAAUAAACCUCACAGAAUGGAAGCUACAGUGUCCAGGGCCAGCUCUGCUAAGGUAACCAAAGACAGAGAAGGAGGCAAAAGUGACAGAAGAAGCUCAUGGGAAACCAACAGAAAUGUAAUGGCUUUGGCAGAAAUGCAAUUAUCAAUUGGGAGGAGAGCCUUUAUAUAACCAAAGAUAUUUUUGGACCAUGAAUUCGGAAAUUCUCGGAGCCACCCAUCAGUGCCUGAGCUUCAGUGAGUCCAUAUCCCAUGUCACCCACGGCAAAGGAGAAUCUAAGACUUCUGAAGAGUUUCUUGCUUCUUUCCUGUGGGGCAGUGACUCCACUUCCCAGCAGUAAUGGAAUAUCCUGAAUUAGCUACAUUAAUGUUAGAACCAUUUGGACCUCACCCAGGACUUCAACUACAUUAUGCUAAAGUUACAGAACCCAAAUUUGGCAACUGUCUGCAUCU